UAGAAAAAUGAUUGAUUGAUUGAUAAACAAAGGAUGUGACUCUAAACUUAUGUUUCUGAGCCCCAGCUUUCCCACAAACCCCUCCCUCCUGUCCCAGCUUUUUCUUCUUUUUAUUAAAGUUUCACUUUCACUUGUCCUGAACUUGGUGUCGCAGAUGAUCUUGUCGGUGUGAAUAUCCAUGUGAAGGCAGACUGCAGACUGGGAAACACCAGUCCUUCUUAGUCCUUCUACUCACAACAUAUAAGAAUCUAACUGGAACACGUCCUCUUACUGAGGUCUGCACUACGAAGCAGGAUUUGAUCUUAUCAAGGUAAUGUCAGGGUUCUUACAGGGGUAUGUUCCCAAUGGUAACUUAUGCAGCUAUUUUUCAGUCUCACUGACCAAACCUUUUCAAACAUGCUGGACUUGAAACAUGAAAAACAGACAUUGGUUUUGAAUUGUGGUUCAGCAGAAUCACGUUUCAGUUUUUAGCCCUGUUUUGGUUCAUCAUCCUGUUGGAGGAUCUGUGACCUGUGACUGAGACAAAGCUUUCUGAUACUGGGCAGCACAUUUCACUGUACACUAUCUAGGGGUUGUUGUUUUUUUGUUGUUGUUGUUAUUUUUGUUUGUUUUUUGCAGGAACACUUAACUUUUACAAAUAAUUAGAUUCAUCCAUUAUUUAUUACUUAUAUUUAUCCGACAUGAUUCCUUCCAAAUGUCUGAAGUAAUGCUGGUACCUACUCUAACUGGAAGAAGUAGUCUAUAAACAGAUUUGUUAAUAUUUGAACCUUUGCAGUACAAAUGUUCAUAUUUGUACAAGCAGGCUGGGUGUGGCUGUGUCUGUUUGUUUUACAGCAUCAGAGCCAUAGCAGGAAGUUGUUGCUGUUGUAAUCAUUGGCGUGUUCCACACAGUGGAGAACCAAAGAGUGAAGAAGUUCUUUGGAAGAAGCUGAAUGAACAGUCUGUGUCAGUGUCUUCAGACGGCUGCAGGUUGUUACCAGCUUCAUUAAAUGUUUCUCAUUCUGCAUUUCAUAUCACAUCUGCCACUGUUUGAUCCUCUUUAACAGAGGAGAUCAGACUGUAAUGUGAUAUUUAUUAAGACUCAGUUUUCUUGUGAACUCUGAACAGAUUAGAUUAGAUUAGAUACAGCCUCACAAAUCAAACUAUAAACUAUAAAACGAGCUCUGAUUUGAGUUCAGAUGGUUCAGAUGCUGGACUCCAGUCUGACUGAUACUCAAGUUGUUUUAUGGAGCGCCAAGAUUCAUGUUCAUUUGUUAAAUAUUCUUCAUAAUUCAUGGAGAAUAUUUAACAGGAAUCAGUGAGCGCCCCCUGCUGGUUCCCUCUGAGUGCUGCUUGUCAGUCUGCAGUGAUACUGCAGGAUUGAUUUAUGGAGGCUUUGAGGGAUUCACUGCAGUUCUUCUGUAGUUAGUCCCUCACAGCUACAUAGUCAGUCACAGUGCCACUGAUACGAGCUACACCAGUUCUAUAGUCCCUACAAACAACACAUGAAAUACUAACAGGCUGAAAAGGAGACCAGGGAGUGUGAAUGAUCACAUAUGUGACAUGUGAUGUGUGGAUAGAUGGAAAAUCUGUAAUAAAUACAAGGUAAAAUUAAAUAGCCUGUCUCUCUGCUGAUAAUGUGUGGAUAUAGGGGUAAUGAUAAAACUGGAAAGAUGUCAUUCUAUGUUCUGUUAAUGAAAACUCAUUUUUAUCUUCAUCUAAAUAAACUUCUGUUUCAAUAAGCACAAAAUCUGCAUAUAUAGAAUCAUGAGCAAAUUGAAUUAAAUGAAUAAUUGAUUUUUUCAAAACCAUUUAAAAACUCUGCUAACUGACACAAUGUGAUGUUUUAUUCUUCCCCGGAGGCUCCAUGUCUACCACCAUUAUUUAUUUUCAUAGAAAUCUGUCAGAAAUGUUAAUUCAGGAUUGUUUUGAUUACUGUAUCUCUCUAAUAAAACCACAGUAACUUCUG